GUGAAUUUGUAGCCUGCAAGGCUCACAUUCUCUAUCCUUUACACACCUGUGCACCCUUCUGAAGCGGAGAGUUAUUAGGCAUUGGCCGAGCGCCUCCCUUCGGUUAUUAUAUCAACCUCAAACUGCGUUUACUAGAAUGUCUCUUAUUGACCUUUGAGUCAGUAAAUCAAUA
rnacentral:misc_RNA from 1 species